CUCCUCUCAGGAUGGCGUCUGGAGAGUUUCCAGUACUCUACUGGUCUUGGCUACAGGAGGGAGAGUCAAGCAGAGGCCUACCCAUUCCAUUCCUAGCUUGGCCAGUGACUAGCGAGUGGAAGGCGAUUUGCUACAGGU